CCUACGGGUGGCAGCAGUGGGGAAUAUUGCACAAUGGGGGAAACCCUGAUGCAGCGACGCCGCGUGAAGGAAGAAGUCUUUCGGUAUGUAAACUUCUAUCAGCAGGGAAGAAAAUGACGGUACCUGACUAAGACGCCCCGGCUAACUACGUGCCAGCAGCCGCGGUAAUACGUCGGGGGCAAGCGUUAUCCGGAUUUACUGGGCGUAAAGGGAGCGUAGGCGGUUUAGCAAGUCAGAAGUGAAAGCCCGGGGCUCAACGCCGGGACUGCUUUUGAAACUGUUGAAAUAGAGUGCAGGAGAGGUAAGUGGAAUUCCUGGUGUAGCGGUGAAAUGCGUAGAGAUUAGGAGGAACACCAGUGGCGAAGGCGGCUUACUGGACUAUAAAUGACGCUGAGGCUCGAAAGCGUGGGGAGCAAACAGGAUUAGAUACCCUGGUAGUC
rnacentral:rRNA from 1 species